rnacentral:rRNA from 1 species
AACGAACGCUGGCGGCAUGCCUAACACAUGCAAGUCGAACGAGACCUUCGGGUCUAGUGGCGCACGGGUGCGUAACGCGUGGAACCUGCCCUUAGGUUCGGAAUAACUCCCCGAAAGGGGUGCUAAUACCGGAUAAUGUCUUCGGACCAAAGAUUUAUCGCCUUUGGAUGGGCCCGCGUUGGAUUAGCUAGUUGGUAGGGUAAAAGCCUACCAAGGCGACGAUCCAUAGCUGGUCUGAGAGGAUGAUCAGCCACACUGGGACUGAGACACGGCCCAGACUCCUACGGGAAGCAGCAGUGGGGAAUAUUGGACAAUGGGCGAAAGCCUGAUCCAGCAAUGCCGCGUGAGUGAUGAAGGCCUUAGGGUUGUAAAGCUCUUUUACCCGGGAUGAUAAUGACAGUACCGGGAGAAUAAGCUCCGGCUAACUCCGUG